GUCGGUGCUGAUGACGCCAAGGAUCCACCUGUUCCCAUUCCGAACACAGAAGUUAAGCUUGGUCGUGCUCACAAUACUUGGCUGGAGACGGCCCGGGAAGAUAGGUAGGUGCCGACA
rnacentral:rRNA from 1 species